AUUGUCCUAGGUGGCAAUUGUCCCAGGUGGCAAUUGUCCUAGGUGAUAAUUGUCCAGGUGGUAAUUGUCCAGGUGGUAAUUGUCCCUGGUGGCAAUUGUCCCUGGUGGCAAUUGUCCAGGUGGCAAUUGUCCCAGAUGGCAAUUGUCCCUGGUGGCAAUUGUCCCUGGUGGCAAUUAUCCCAGGUGGCAAUUGUCCAGGUGGCAAUUGUCCAGGUGGCAAUUGUCCCUGGUGGCAAUUGUCCCUGGUGGCAAUUGUCCUGGUGGCAAUUGUCCCUGGUGGCAAUUGUCCCUGGUGGCAAUUGUGCAGGUGGUAAUUGUCCCAGGUGGCAAUUGUCCAGGUGGCAAUUGUCCAGGUGGUAAUUGUGCAGGUGGUAAUUUUCCCGGUGGCAAU